UACAAUUUUCUCCUAAGGGAGAUUCCUUGUUACUAAGAUUUAUAAAGUGAGGGUAUUGUGAUGUCAUCUCUUACCAUUGUGCUGCUUUGUUGUUCUUGCAUUCCCAUCUUAAUGACCGCACAAGUUGAUAGACUCAAAGAAAAGGUGGAGAUAUGUAAAUUCAGUGGUUGAUGCCGGGAAGACGCAGCAGAUUUCUAAACUGGGAGGCAGUGAAGGGAGCAACCCAACAUUCAAACUAUUUGAAAGAAACCUUUCAUGUUUCAUCAGCCUGGCACUUUAAAACUGCCUCCCCCCCGAACCUGUCCUGAAAACUGGAAAAACUGGGUGUCUGACUGCAAUUUAUGGAGACAUUAGUAAUGAAAAGACAUUACAGAUCCCAUGACAUCUUUGUUUUUUGGUAGAUAGAAAUGUUAUUUUAUCCUCUAAAAUUAGAUCCAAAUACCGUUCUGGAGCCACGUGAGAAACUGCCAUUAAUAUCAAAAUUUCAAAAUAAUGUGAUUAUUUCUGAGCUUGUAAUCGAAAUCUGAAACUUCAAUGCAGUUUCAUUUUUAGACUAGCUCUCCUGUUUGAUAAUUGGUAUGUUGCCAUUAUCAAUAUUUUUAGCACUUUUAGUAUCCCUCACAUUGUGAAGCACUGUAGAAUGCAAUACAGCCUGGGGCCGGGUCCUGAGAGCUGCUGAAUGCUUGCAACCCCACUGAGGUCAGCACCUCUCUCAGGAUUUGACCCAUGACUUAAUUAAUCUCUGGGCUGAAUUUCAGUGAAAGGAUACUUUUGCAUUUUUCAUACACACAGAGCAAAAAUGCAUCAUUUCAGUCUGGAUGGCUCAUUUCAGCAUAUGGAAAAUAACAAAGAAAGAACGAAUAUCCCUCUACCAAUAAAGCUGGGUUCACUUAACUGCAGUGAGUCUGCCUGUAUAGGCCUUGAAUGGAGAGAAAAAAAAUAAGAUGCUUGAUCUUGAUUCAGAGUGUAUUUGCAUCUCAUGUCCUCCAGUGACAGCAGCCAGCCUUUGUGGAACCCCUGUUUAUCACCUAGUAAGUUAUGAUAGCACAGCUCAUCCUAUUCCAUCUCCCAGACAGUGGACUAUAUAUACAAUUAAAAGAA